rnacentral:tRNA from 1 species
CAGGGAGACAAAACCGAUUAUGUUUUCUGAAUAAUUAAAAUUUAGAUCGUAAUCCUGUCACCUUAGGUCGAUCGGUACCUCAGGUUGAGAACCUAAAAAGAAUGAGAGAUCAUUAAUGAAUAGGUUGUUGAUUUCAGUUCCUAAACUUGUCUAGGUCACACCCAACAAACUUUCUUCUGGGCUAUUAGCUCAGGUGGUUAGAGCGCACCCCUGAUAAGGGUGAGGUCCCUGGUUCAAGUCCAGGAUGGCCCAUUCGUUGUUGGGGGUAUAGCUCAGUUGGUAGAGCGCCUGCUUUGCAAGCAGGAUGUCAGCGGUUCGAGUCCGCUUACCUCCACUGAUCAACUGCCUGAUAACUCAAUUUAAGGAGAUUGAUACUUUGUUAAAUGUGAUUUAGACGUUGUUCAACUGAAUUGAACCUAGCUUCCUGUCAUUCCUUAUAGAUAAAAUCUUUAAGGCUGAUAAGACGCUGGGCUCACUAUGAUCUUCAACAAUCAUAGUUUAAGUUCAGUAGAACCUUGACAACUGCAUAGUGAGUCUGGAAAGAAAAACAUCUAAAAAUAGAUGUUGAAUUCUUUUUAUAAAAUUCAUUUUUUAUUUAGAGGAUUUUAAUUACAAUUCUAAUUCAAGAGCCGAGAAUCUAAGGCUUUAUUUCUCAUAAAAUAUGUACUAUUUAGUUCAUUUUUAUAGUAAUAAGGCAUAUAAAUAGAUCAAAUAAU